GAUGAACGCUGGCGGCGUGCCUAAUACAUGCAAGUCGAGCGAACAGACGAGGAGCUUGCUCCUCUGACGUUAGCGGCGGACGGGUGAGUAACACGUGGAUAACCUACCUAUAAGACUGUGAUAACUUCGGGAAACCGGAGCUAAUACCGGAUAAUAUAUUGAACCGCAUGGUUCAAUAGUGAAAGACGGUUUUGCUGUCACUUAUAGAUGGAUCCGCGCCGCAUUAGCUAGUUGUUAAGGUAACGGCUUACCAAGGCAACGAUGCGUAGCCGACCUGAGAGGGUGAACGGGCACACUGGAAGUGAGAAACGGUCCAGACUCCUACGGGAGGCAGCAGUAGGGAAUCUUCCGCAAUGGGCGAGAGCCUGACGGAGCAACGCCGCGUGAGUGAUGAAGGUCUUCGGAUCGUAAAACGCUGUUAUUAGGGAAGAACAAAUGUGUAAGUAACUAUGCACGUCUUGACGGUACCUAAUCAGAAAGCCACGGCUAACUACGUG
rnacentral:rRNA from 1 species